GAUGAACGCUGGCGGCAUGCCUUACACAUGCAAGUCGAACGGUAACGGGCCUUCGGGCGCCGACGAGUGGCGAACGGGUGAGUAAUGCAUCGGAACGUGCCCAGUGGUGGGGGAUAGCCCGGCGAAAGCCGGAUUAAUACCGCAUACGACCUACGGGUGAAAGCGGGGGACCUUCGGGCCUCGCGCCAUUGGAGCGGCCGAUGUCAGAUUAGGUAGUUGGUGGGGUAAAGGCCUACCAAGCCGAGGAUCUUUAGCUGGUCUUAGAGGACGACCAGCCACACUGGGGCUGAGACCCUGCCCAGACUCCUACGGGAGGCAGCAGUGGGGAAUUUUGGACAAUGGGCGCAAGCCUGAUGCAGCCAUGUCGCGUGCGGGAAGAAGGCCUUCGGGUUGUAAACCGCUUUUGUCAGGGAAGAAAUCUCGCGGGCCAAUACCCUGCGAGGAUGACGGUACCUGAAGAAUAAGCACCGGCUAACUACGUGCCAGCCGCCGCGGUAA
rnacentral:rRNA from 1 species